rnacentral:rRNA from 1 species
AUUGAACGCUGGCGGCAUGCCUUACACAUGCAAGUCGAACGGUAACGGGCCUUCGGGCGCCGACGAGUGGCGAACGGGUGAGUAGUGCAUCGGAACGUACCUUUCAGUGGGGGGUAACGUAGCGAAAGUUACGCUAAUACCGCAUAUUCUGUGAGCAGGAAAGCAGGGGAUCGCAAGACCUUGCGCUGAUUGAGCGGCCGAUGUCAGAUUAGCUAGUUGGUGAGGUAAAGGCUCACCAAGGCGACGAUCUGUAGCGGGUCUGAGAGGAUGAUCCGCCACACUGGAACUGAGACACGGUCCAGACUCCUACGGGAGGCAGCAGUGGGGAAUUUUGGACAACGGGGGCAACCCUGAUCCAGCCAUGCCGCGUGAGUGAAGAAGGCCUUCGGGUUGUAAAGCUCUUUCGGCCGGGAAGAGAUCGUAUGGGCUAAUACCCUGUGCGGAUGACGGUACCGGCAUAAGAAGCACCGGCUAACUACGUGCCAGCCGCCGCCGUAAUAC